rnacentral:rRNA from 1 species
UACGUAGGGUGCAAGCGUUGUCCGGAAUUAUUGGGCGUAAAGAGCUUGUAGGCGGUUUGUCGCGUCUGCUGUGAAAAUCCGGGGCUCAACCCCGGACUUGCAGUGGGUACGGGCAGGCUAGAGUGUGGUAGGGGAGACUGGAAUUCCUGGUGUAGCGGUGGAAUGCGCAGAUAUCAGGAGGAACACCGAUGGCGAAGGCAGGUCUCUGGGCCACUACUGACGCUGAGAAGCGAAAGCAUGGGGAGCGAACAGG